rnacentral:pre_miRNA from 1 species
AGGGGAGUGCCGGACCCUGGGCUGUGUCCCCCGGCACCCUGGGCUCCAGGGCCUGCACCUCUGGAAUCGUAGUCUCAGGCCGGGUAGCCCACU